rnacentral:rRNA from 1 species
AUUGAACGCUGGCGGCAUGCCUUACACAUGCAAGUCGAACGGCAGCACGGGUGCUUGCACCUGGUGGCGAGUGGCGAACGGGUGAGUAAUACAUCGGAACGUACCUUAUCGUGGGGGAUAACGCAGCGAAAGCUGUGCUAAUACCGCAUACGCCCUGAGGGGGAAAGCGGGGGAUCGCAAGACCUCGCGCGAUUAGAGCGGCCGAUGCCUGAUUAGCUCGUUGGUGGGGUAAAAGCCCACCAAGGCGACGAUCAGUAGCUGGUCUGAGAGGACGAUCAGCCACACUGGGACUGAGACACGGCCCAGACUCCUACGGGAGGCAGCAGUGGGGAAUUUUGGACAAUGGGGGCAACCCUGAUCCAGCAAAGCCGCGUGAGUGAAGAAGGCCUUCGGGUUGUAAAGCUCCUUUGUCAGGGAAGAAACACCGGCUCUAACACAGUCCGGGAAUGACGGUACCUGAAGAAUAAGCACCGGCUAACUACGUGCCAGCAGCCGCGGUAA